AUGUGCGGAAAGGGCCGGAACAACGGGCUCGCGUCGCCGGCGGGGACAAGCGGCACGGCGACCGCCAUCGUCGCCCUCGCGUCGCUGCUCCUCGCGGCCUCGGUCGUCGUCUUCCUCGUGUCGCCGCCGGCGCCGGCGGCGGACGAGAAGCCCCCCGAGCCGGUGGAGCUCGCCAUCGGCGUCGCCGGGCACGAGGGCUGGCUGGACGCGCUCCGGGCGUGGGCCAAGCUGGCGUGCCUCAAGCUCCGCCCGCUCGAGCCAAGGUGUGAUCUGAGGAGCUCGGGGUCGAUGAAGAAGGCGGCCAAGCAGAGCCUGGCGAUGGGCAAGGAGGCCGUGGAGCAGACGGCGGUGUCGGCGGCGAGGGCCGCCGAGGAGACCAUCGGGAGGACCACCGAGAAGGUGCGGAGGAAGGUCUCCCCGUCGCCGUCGACGUCGUCGGCGCCACUCGCCGAUGGAGACCUGUGA
rnacentral:rRNA from 1 species